GACGAACGCUGGCGGCGUGCUUAACACAUGCAAGUCGUACGGUAAGGCCCUUUCGGGGGUACACGAGUGGCGAACGGGUGAGUAACACGUGAGUAACCUGCCCACAACUUUGGGAUAACGCUAGGAAACUGGUGCUAAUACUGGAUAUGUGCUCCUGCUGCAUGGUGGGGGUUGGAAAGCUCCGGCGGUUGUGGAUGGACUCGCGGCCUAUCAGCUUGUUGGUGGGGUAGUGGCCUACCAAGGCGGCGACGGGUAGCCGGCCUGAGAGGGUGACCGGCCACAUUGGGACUGAGAUACGGCCCAGACUCCUACGGGAGACAGCAGUGGGGAAUAUUGCACAAUGGGCGCAAGCCUGAUGCAGCAACGCCGCGUGCGGGAUGACGGCCUUCGGGUUGUAAACCGCGUUCAGCAGGGACGAAGCUUUUUGUGACGGUACCUGCAGAAGAAGCACCGGCUAACUACGUG
rnacentral:rRNA from 1 species